CUGAGGGCGACCGAAUGUGGGGAGGAAGCGCGGAGCGAAGCUGCGGGCCGAUGAACAAGAACCGGAUAGAGAAGUCGUUGCCGACCACGGCGAGCGGGCCGGAGACCGCAAAGCUCUCGUGAUCGCAAGGGGAAGCGGAGUAAAUCCGGCGGUCGUGCAGUAAAGGAGUGCGUUC
rfam:Bradyrhizobium manausense strain BR3351 contig2101, whole genome shotgun sequence.